rnacentral:rRNA from 1 species
GGGCGUAAGGGCUCGCAGGCGGUUUCUUAAGUCUGAUGUGAAAGCCCCCGGCUCAACCGGGGAGGGUCAUUGGAAACUGGGGAACUUGAGUGCAGAAGAGGAGAGUGGAAUUCCACGUGUAGCGGUGAAAUGCGUAGAGAUGUGGAGGAACACCAGUGGCGAAGGCGACUCUCUGGUCUGUAACUGACGCUGAGGAGCGAAAGCGUGGGGAGCGAACAGGAUUAGAUACCCUGGUAGUCCACGCCGUAAACGAUGAGUGCUAAGUGUUAGGGGGUUUCCGCCCCUUAGUGCUGCAGCUAACGCAUUAAGCACUCCGCCUGGGGAGUACGGUCGCAAGACUGAAACUCAAAGGAAUUGACGGGGGCCCGCACAAGCGGUGGAGCAUGUGGUUUAAUUCGAAGCAACGCGAAGAACCUUACCAGGUCUUGACAUCCUCUGACAAUCCUAGAGAUAGGACGUCCCCUUCGGGGGCAGAGUGACAGGUGGUGCAUGGUUGUCGUCAGCUCGUGUCGUGAGAUGUUGGGUUAAGUCCCGCAACGAGCGCAACCCUUGAUCUUAGUUGCCAGCAUUCAGUUGGGCACUCUAAGGUGACUGCCGGUGACAAACCGGAGGAAGGUGGGGAUGACAUCAAAUCAUCAUGCCCCUUAUGACCUGGGCUACACACGUGCUACAAUGGACAGAAC